UACGGAGGGUGCGAGCGUUAAUCGGAAUUACUGGGCGUAAAGCGCACGCAGGCGGUUUGUUAAGCUAGAUGUGAAAGCCCCGGGCUCAACCUGGGAUGGUCAUUUAGAACUGGCAGACUAGAGUCUUGGAGAGGGGAGUGGAAUUCCAGGUGUAGCGGUGAAAUGCGUAGAUAUCUGGAGGAACAUCAGUGGCGAAGGCGACUCCCUGGCCAAAGACUGACGCUCAUGUGCGAAAGUGUGGGUGGCGAACAGG
rnacentral:rRNA from 1 species